UCUCCCCUAGUUCCCUCAGCCUUUGCCUUCCACCUCCAAGCCCCUCUCCUCUCUCUCUCUCUCUCUGAGUUGCUCAACUCAGCUCAGUUCUACCCAGGGACUCUAGUCUCUAGUGUUUAUUCCAGGGAGAGAGAGAGAAGCACAUUAUCAUACCUGUAAGAUGGAUUACACUUUUGUGUUUGUGGUUGCUAGUCUGCUGAUCUUUUCUUGCUCGAUGCCGGCAGUGAAUGCCCAAAAAAGCAUUUCUCUGUCUCCGGCGCCAGCCCCGGCCCCAGACUUUGUGAACCUAACAGAUUUGCUAUCUGUUGCUGGACCUUUCCACACUUUCCUUAACUACAUUGAGACCACCAAAGUUGUGGAAACUUUCCAAAACCAAGCCAACGAUACUGAAGAAGGGCUUACUCUCUUUGUGCCC